UGCAUGUCUUUGGUUGCCUCUCAUGCAUGUUUGCCAUCCCCUUAAAGCAACGGCUCCCCCUGCUUGCGCGCCCCGGCCGGGCCUUCGUUGGUACCACUCGAUCCCAUAAGAGGUCGCUAUCUCAUCUCAAGCUUUCUUGUCCGUAAUGCUGUCAUCUACUUGCUGCUGAGCUUCACAUCAUCCCUUGGCCCAUAAUCACCAGCAUGUUCUCUCUGGUAAGUAUUCAUGCAUAACUAUUCCUCCCUUCUUUUGCCACGUCAUUAACUAACCUAGUUAAUAUAUAUCGCAUGGUUGCUCUUUUAAUAAAUUUUACCUGAUGGCUCGAGAUAUAUGCAACCAGGCUAGAGACCUAGCAAGAUUAUCUUUGUAGAUAUAUCCUUCUGAAGAAAAUGAUAUGCUUUGCUUUUAAAUUCAUUUCUUACCUUAAUUAAUUUGUAUGCAACUAUCUGAAUGUAAUCUUAUGAAAGUAGAGUUAUUGUUUUCCCUGAUUGAUAGAGCUAUACCUUGCUCCUUCUCAAGGGAAGUUUUAUGAGUAGCUAGCUAGUUGGAUGGCAGAUUAUCCAAACCUGUCAUAAACUCAUAAUGUUACCGCUCCAUGCUAAUAUGUAGCAUGGAUAAUUUUCACCCAUCGUCGUUUUCAAGUUUGUUGAAGUGAUUCACACAUGACAUGUGUUUAUUAUGUAUGAUGUCAAGUUAAGUUGGGGUUUUUCCUCUUUAGCAUACUGAUCUAACAUGAUAAUCACUGUUUUUGAACUAAGCUGUUUCUUUCCAAUCAAAUUUGUAAAUAUUAUUGUUCUGCUCUAGAACUGUCCGUUCCCUGUGACUAUAUGACGUGUGUUGUAGUGAGUUAUGUGUUAUCUACUUCAGUACUUGUUUUCGGUAUCAUUUCUGUGCUAGUAGCGAGAAUCUUGACAGAGACCAACAUUCCUCACUGAUUCCAUGAGUUAUUCCAGGACUCUGCCUGGGAGAAUGCCUGAUUGUAUUUCCUUGUUGAUGUAGGUACUCUCAUAGUAUAGUAGAACAUAACCCGCGUUGAACUUGAUAAAACAAUGCAAAGAACAUGUUAGACUAAAAUUCCUGGUUCAUCAUUAAGAAAUAACUGAACAUGCAUCCAGAGACCUAGGUAACUUUCUAGGUGAUACGCCUGAGCUGCAUAUAAUCCGAAGUUGGUUUUUGUCUAUCCCAUAGCCCUUUGUUUACAUGAAAGAAAGAAUUAGCAGAUGAUGAGCUGAAUGCAUACUCACAUGCAUCCAUACAGAGAAGAAUGAUGGCCCAUCCUUUGGACCACAGAGGUAGAACGAUUAGUCAUCCUUAUUUAGAUUAAGUAAGUGUCACACACAGUAUUUAGAUCUUUUCUUGUUUAUUUCAAUGUAAUUUAAUGUUCUUCUGUGAUCUACUUGUUCUUGAUAAUCUCUAUACUAAAUUAGCUGGUAGAUUUUAAAAUUGUUACUGUACUUGUAUCGAGAAAAAGCAUGGAAGUACUAGAAACAUUUAAGGCCACGAGUAUAUAUAAACAUCUUCUUAGAAUCAUAACAAGGUCAAGUUCUUUUUUUUUGCGGGGUGAUAACAAGGUGAAGUUGAUCUGCUGAACUUUUUUGUUCUAUGACACGUGGUUUAUAGCAAGAAAAUCCUAUAGGAUAUGUUUUAUCUAUAAGACAGUCCUUGUGUAAGCCAGUUAAUUCUUCACUACUCUGUUGUACACAUGGUCUCAGCAGGAAAUAGACAUUUUGGUAGUGCAAAUGGCAUGACAGUAGAGCAUUAGACACUGGUGUAGAUGAGACAAUUCGUUUUUUUUGGGUUUCAUAAAACAUAUGUACAUUAUAUGCAUUAUAUUAUAUAUAUGAUAUGAUUUAAGAAUUUUGAGUUAGCAAAAUUGUCACGAAACUAUUUCUCUUCAGGUAAAAUGCCAUGUAAAAAAGAAUAUAAAUGAGCAUUGAUGUUUGUGCAUACUGGUACAGGCAUGGUUGUCAAGUUCAUUGAAAAACCAACAGCUUAUACAAUCGCAUCACCUUCUACAAAUCAUACUUGAUGAAGUUUCUAUGUUCUCCAUGCUCUUAUUUCGUAUAUGUAGCAACACGGUGAUCAUUAUAUUUAGUACAACGCACUGAAACACGUAAGCAGCGUACAGUACUACACACAUCAUAUUACAGUCUUAUAUUUACAUGGUACUAUGUAAAUCAAAUUACUUAUCUGUCCAAUAAUUGAUAUCACAUGAUGAUCAUCAUCAUCCUUAUUAUUAUAGCUCCUUAAGAUAAUAAUUAUGUAUGAGAUACUAUAUUUGAUUAAGGGCAUCGUCACUUCCAUGGAUCAACUUGACUGCUUGAUGUCGAGGUGGACGCAUAAUCAGUUGCCCCCUCUUGCUUCUCGUUGAGCUGAAGAAUGCCUCCAUCAGUAUAAUCUACACCCUUGGUCGCAUCAUUACUAAGCUGGGAUGCAACAAACUUGUCCAGGACUCUCCAGUCAGUAGUGGAUUGGUCGACAGCUGCAUGAUCGAUAAGUUGAACAUGGUGGUGGGCAUUGACUUGGUGAUCAUCGGGCGAUACCAAAAGAGAAUGGAAGGAAGAUGUCUCUAGGUCAUGAGGAAUAAUGGUGCUGAGGACAUCGUGAUGAUGAUGGUUUGGCAUUUGGAAUUGUAGCUUCAGUUCCCUCUUGUAGGUGUUGUUGAGCAUCUGGAGGUGUUGUUCUUGCAGCGCCGCCAUGCUGUGGUGAGGGGGCAUUAUUCCGUUCAUCGUCGGAGCGUUGAGGUCAUGCAUGAAGGGCCCAUCGUCAUCGACAUACCAGCAGGGUGCAUCAUGGUCCAGAUCCCUUCUUGUUGCCGGUAAUCUCUUCUUGAACACCCUGCAUACUACCCAACCUUCUUCCUGAAAUUAAUCAAUAUACAUGGUCAAUCGAUCAGGUUAGCUGGAGGGCUACUUAAUUUAAACACCGACAAACAACAUUUGGGAGUUGAGACAAGACGUAGAUGUAUAAAUUGGAGUAUAGCUUAAAAAUUGCUUGCCUGUGGAGGGCCAUUCUCGUUGGUCUCGAGGCGGUACUCGUGCAUGAUCCAGUCGGACUUGUGGCCAUUGGGAGCCCUGCCUUUGUAGUAGACGAGGGUCUUCCUCAUGCCAACCAAGCAGUGCUUUGCAUAGAUGGGCUUGUCUCUCCCCGUCGCCUUCCAGAACCCCGCCGCGGUUGCCCGGUUUGUCCGAGUCCCUGUUGGGUAUUUCUUGUCCUUGUGGCUGAAGAAGUACCAAUCGCUCUGCUCCUCCUCAGGACCUAUCCUACAUUUCUCUGCAUAUAGGAAUGAAUGAAGGAAUGUACACAUGAUCAUUUAUAAAUUAUCAAAAAUAUUUCAAGACACUCUUGGAUUGAUAUCUCAUUGGUUAGACUGAUUUAUAUGCUGCAUGUGUGUUGUGUGUCAGUGUGUGUGUAGAAGGCAGGUUGGUUACCUUGGAGAUCCCAUGGUUCAAUCUUGUAGAGAUCAACAUCUUUGAUGACAUUUAGGUCAAUCCUUCUCGAGGCCACCUUCUUGCGGAGGUAGUAAUCCACAAGCUCCUCAUCGGUCGGGUGGAACCGAAAACCUGGAGGAACCUGCUGCUGCUGUGUACUGUUACUCAUGUCGAUUGAUGCGCGAUACUGUCGGAGCCUUUCCUACAGUUCGCGGUCAAUAGAUCGACGCGCGCCGACAGAGGAUGUAGUCCAAACUAUAUAUUCUAUAUAUUCCUGCUGACAAUAAAUAUUUGUACCUAUAUAUGAACACAAGCUAAAUUAGUCAUCUGUUCCAUGUGUAAUUUAUGUAGAUCUUUGAUGACAAUUAGUAUGGAUCGAGUGGGAGGCGUGCAUGUGAUAAUGGAUGGAUGGAUGGAAAGUAGCAGGAGUAGUAAUACGGGAGCAAGCAAGCAAGCAGCAGCAUGAUCAUUUGGAGUGACGCAUGCAUGCAGGCCUUGAGAAGCACCACUCAUUGCCCCUUGUGGAAUGUUCCCUUCAUUCUAAAAAGCUAGCUAGCCAGAUCUCAUCAUGUAUCAUGUAUGUACAUAUAUAUCUCCCCAGGGUAGCUAUACCUCUAGCCGUGUAUAUCUAGAGUACUACUUGUAUCACUUUGCACUCCUUAAUUCAUCACUAGCCGUGUAAUCGCUUGUAUUAACUGGAUUGUUUCCGAGUCAAGUUACGCAUGCAUGCAUGCAUCUAUGAUCAUAUAUGCCAUAGCUAGCUGGUGCAUAUAUAUGCCUGACUUGAGAUCUAACUAAUUGGAAGCUAGUUCUGGCGAUCGAAUCCAUUUAUAGGAUAAGUUUAACAUACAUGCAUGCAUAUAUGUAUCAUGUACAUAUAAUUGUACGUAC
rnacentral:lncRNA from 1 species